AUGUGUCAGAGAAUUAGGAUGCUUCCAUGCUCUGGGUUGAAUUCUGCUUCACCUACGAAUCCUGCUUUUCUUUUGAGAAAAAAAAAAUGGCACGAAGUGGAAAAGGGGUUCUAUUGGUUAACCUGACAUGGGAUGACUUCAGGCACUGGGAUCCCCCAGGACUGCUUUGGUGCCAAGUCUGUGUAGCCUGCAGCAGGUGGAAGAAGGCCUCCCUGGUCUGGGAUUUAUGGUGUAUCAAGGGUCUUAGAACAGAUGCGCUUGGCUCCCAUUAUGAACUUGUCCAACAGGUAUGCUUUUAUUCUUGGGAAACACAAGCGUUGAAAGAUACAGAAGCAAAAAGAGAAUAAUUUAACAACCAUCUGCAUACUUGCCAUGUAUAAUGAACAGGUAUUAAUGUUUAUUGAUAUUUGCUUCAUACAUUGCUGUUAAUACAAUAAUAUCACUGUCAAGUUGGAGCUGCCUCUUAGUCCUAUUCCAGAUCACCCCCUCCUGCCCAAGAGACAACUCUUUGGAUGAAUUUCAUGUAUAACAUACUGGUCAAAUAUGCGUACUUUGAAUUGAAUCCAUAAACCAUAUGCUGAAGUUUUGAAGAUUUUAUACAAAUAUUAUCAUACACUAUUCAUCUUUCUGUAAUUAGCUUCAAUUUCAUUCAACACGAAGUUUCGUUUUAAAGGUCUGUGUUGAUGCCUUUAAAUCUAGUGCAUUUGUUUAAAUUGCUGAAUUGUAGUCCACUGAUGGAUGCUUAAGUUGGGUUUUUAGAUUUUAUCUACAACAUCUGUUUUGCAAGGAUCCAGGCAUCACAUCCUUUACAGAAGGCUGUGCAGAUUCAGAUUAAGGAUAGAUAAACCAACAGGUGUUUCUGAGACAUCCAUGAGUCUCUCUGGAUGAAGGCUAUUUAUUUAUGUAUUUAUCCUUUCUAAGUCCAAUUUACCAUUCCAGACACUUUUUAUCCCCCUUAGGAAUCCUUAUUUUACUCAUAGUGUUGUAUUUUGACUUUGAUAAGACCUUGGAACACUCCCUCAAUAUUUUCAUAUAUGUCUGAACCCCAGGGAAUAAUAUAGAUGCAGAUUUCUGUCCCUUCAAUUAACAAAACAUGUUCACAAAUGCCAAAAAUCAGCAGCAGAGUUGAGCAGAAUAUCCAAGUUCACUAAUAAACCUUCAGAACUGCUACUCUUCUUCA
rnacentral:lncRNA from 1 species